GAACAUUUUGCCUGCCAACGACUCGUUUCCAGCCGUCAUUCGUCAGUUAUAACGGGAACUUUGCGCGGAGCGGACGGAAAACGGAAACAACAGUCUCGGUCCAAAACGCCUUACGUCAAGCUUUAGCAUGUGAACAGAAAGAAGAGUGUUAUCAGUGUCACAGAGAAAUAUAAAGCAUAAAAGCAUUGGAGAUAUGCUGCAUCAAUAUACAGUGAAACAGCCAACCAGUAUAAAGUACUACAGUGAAUUAAUAUUGAUUGCAGACCAGUAAAUACAGCACCCACCAAGGUGUAAGUGCACCAUCAGUGAUUGGAGACCUGGUGUACCGUGAAAUCCUAGUGACACAUCUGAUUUACAGUGAAACUAGAGUGAUUGCAACAUCACAUAUGUAGCUCUCAGAGUUCUACAACAGUGUCUACAAACAGUCAGGCACAACACUGUCGCUAAGGAAGUUCUGCAAAUAUUGAUAAAGAUACUUUUUUUCGGUGGAGAGAAUGUGAGAAAGGAGAUGUCAAGACGCUGCCGCAGUGAAGGCCCUGAGUAAAAAAAAAAAUCCCGAAGCUGAUUACGAUUGGCAGCAGAACCUAUAACAAUAAACGGAAGAGCAACAAAAGUAAUUUGAAUUUAGGUGUAGACAGAGACGGCAUAUAGGGAGAGAAAGAGAGAGACAGAGCACUAGAAAACUGUGUACAUAUUUUGUCUUUGUCCGUUCUGUCGUUUCGUCUGUGUAAAUAAAUGCAAUGCAGAAAAAGAGCAACAGCAACAGCAACA